ACCUGGCUGGCUUAGUUGGUAGAGCAUGUGGCUUUUGAUCUUGGGGUUGUGAGUUCAAGCCCCAUGUUGGGUG
rnacentral:tRNA from 1 species